AACGAACGCUGGCGGCAGGCUUAACACAUGCAAGUCGAACGCCCCGCAAGGGGAGUGGCAGACGGGUGAGUAACGCGUGGGAACAUACCCUUUCCUGUGGAAUAGCUCUGGGAAACUGGAAUUAAUACCGCAUACGCCCUACGGGGGAAAGAUUUAUCGGGGAAGGAUUGGCCCGCGUUGGAUUAGCUCGUUGGCGGGGUAAAGGCCUACCAAGGCGACGAUCCAUAGCUGGUCUGAGAGGAUGAUCAGCCACAUUGGGACUGAGACACGGCCCAAACUCCUACGGGAUGCAGCAGUGGGGAAUAUUGGACGAUGGGCGCAAGGCUGAUCCAGCCAUGCCGCGUGAGUGAUGAAGGCCGUAGGGUUGUAAAGCUCUUUCACCAAUGAAGAUAAUGACGGUAGUCGGAGAAGAAGCCCCCGCUAACUUCGUGCCAGCCGCCGCGGUAACAC
rnacentral:rRNA from 1 species